UCUAGUGGCGGACGGGUGAGUAACGCGUGGGUAACCUGCCCAUAAGAGGGGGAUAACACCGGGAAACCGGUGCUAAUACCGCAUACCAUCUUUUGAUCGCAUGAUUGAGAGAUAAAAGGAGUAAUCCGCUUAUGGAUGGACCCGCGUCUGAUUAGCUAGUUGGUAGGGUAAAGGCCUACCAAGGCGACGAUCAGUAGCCGGCCUGAGAGGGUGAACGGCCACACUGGAACUGAGACACGGUCCAGACUCCUACGGGAGGCAGCAGUGGGGAAUCUUCCGCAAUGGGCGAAAGCCUGACGGAGCAACGCCGCGUGAGUGAUGAAUGCCUUCGGGUUGUAAAACUCUGUCAUCAGGGAAGAAACAAAUGACGGUACCUGAGGAGGAAGCCCCGGCUAACUACGUGCCAGCAGCCGCGGUAAUACGUAGGGGGCGAGCGUUGUCCGGAAUUACUGGGCGUAAAGAGCAUGUAGGCGGGUAUUUAAGUCAAGAGUGAAAACUAUGGG
rnacentral:rRNA from 1 species